GUGACUGUGGCAAGACGAGCAGGUGCUCUGUAAAGCCAGCAGCAUGAGUCCCCGGAACAAGCACUAUAACCCAUCUAGGUGACUACAGUUGAGUGUGAAGCAGGGAUGUGGCACAGGUGAAGUGGAACUUGACAUCUUUAUACACAUCAAGGAGUUGCUGUGGGAAACCUGCUGACAUAGGAGACCUUUAAAAGAGCUCUCAGAACCCUGAGAAUCUUUAGGUGGAGUGUACAGCAUGUAGCAUUUCUCCAAGCUCGGAACCCUGGUGUUCUGUCAAGGAACGUAAAUUCUGUGAAUACAUGCUGGAUAACACCUUAAGACUGUUCUAUGACCAGUUUUUGUGAACAACAACACCGUAAAUAAAGAUUAUGACCAGUUUUUGUGAACAACAACAACAUAUGAGUAAAAACCUGGUUACUUAUAUGCCCUUCUUGACUAAGUCCGAAGACCCCCUCAAGUCCUUUCAACUGGAGUGGAUUCUGGCCACCUGCCCGCCCCCACAGCCCCCUUGCAAACAGGCAGGGGAGGGAGCCCGGUGUCACACUCCACCUGCAGUGACUGCUCAGUCACACACCAUUCCGCCCCGGGCAGCCUCCUCCAGCUCAUCCACAGCCUGGGGACCUCAUCUCACAAACCAAGGCCACAGCGGGAGGAGGCAUGAACUAUUCUGCACGGGAUGUGAAUGUCCUCCGCGUCGACCUGUGCUUCCUGUCUAUUCUCCCGCACCUCAUGCUGACCAACUACCUAAAAAUAUCAGAGCGAAAGCUGGGCUGCAGG